CAAGAAUUCUCAAAACAGCUUUCUGAACCUGAAUCGCACGCAGUAAAGCUGGUGUUCUCCUGAAGCCAACAUUUAUGGUAUCACCUUGCUGAUCCAGGCAAAAUGGCAAAAGUGUAGUGAACAUAAAGCCAGGGGCUGAGAUUGUGGAUGUCCUCUGUACCAAGUUUCUUAUUAUGAAAAUUCCAAGGGCCAAUUUUGAAACAAACCAGGCAGAGACCCAGAUGCAGAAUCCUGCAGGCUGAGGGAUGUUAGGAAGAGUUAGCCCACCACUGCUGCGCUGAAACCAGGAUGACGCAAACUGGGCCUCAGGCCAGAUCAAUAAACCAAACUCCCUGUCACCUCAGACUCUGCACCUGUUAAAGCCCUGUAAAGAGCCGACAUGUAAGGACUUAUACUGACUGGAUACAGAGAAUAUGGAGCAAAUCAAACGUAUUUAAAUAGUAAAUUAUCAUAUUGUUAUAAAUAAAAAUUUACAUUGCA
rnacentral:lncRNA from 1 species